CCCUCUCCUCCUUCCCCGCCGCUGCCCGGCCUCCUCCCCACCCGCGCCUCCCUCUCCUUCUUCCCUGCUGCCACCCAGCCUCCUCCUUCCACCCCUCCGAUCUGGUGCCGCCCUCUAAUUCAUCUUAUUGUGAUUUGGAACGAUUUGUGUUUUGGUGGGCUUCAGUUUGGUGCUUCCCCUUUCCAUGUGCAGAGAAAAGGAGAAGAAGGGGUUGGAUGAGCAAGAAGCAGAAGGACUAGAACAAGAAGAAGGGAAGGGAGGUGGGGCCAUAUGCAUGUCCAUGGAGCAGAGCAGGCGAGGAGGGAGACUAGGUCGCGCUCUCUCUGCCUUUGUCUCGCGUGGGGAGGAGUGGAGGCUGCGGCUCGCACUUCUUCUCCUUUGUGGACUGCAGAAUGGACGGGCGAGACGCUGCUCCUCUUGUCACGCGAGGGUGACAGUCUGGUCCCGUCCAGGUUAACCCACCAGGAAGAUGUACUCCUCUUUGGCGUAAUGGGACACCAGACAAGCCAGUUCUCUGCAAUGCAUGUGGUUCGAGAUGGAGGAUAAAGGGUACAUUGGUGAAUUACACACCGGCGCAUCGUCGGGAAGAUACUGACGCUGGCGAAGCUGGACCUGACAAGCUGAAGCUCAAUGGACAGAAACAGCCGAAGAAACGACCAAACUGCACUACUGCAGCAUAGUGAAGGAUGAACCACGGUCUGAUCAGAGCUUCUGGAAGAUAGGAAAUGCGGACACAAGCAAUAGAUUCUGUUUUGGAUCAGUGGUGUCAUAUUCAGAGAGUUGUGCCCCGUAUGGUUCUAUUGAUGCAAGUGAAAUAGCCGAAAUUAGAAGAGUGAGUGAUGGUUUGUACAAAUGUUUACGGUAUCCUGUCAAUGAGGGAAUGAGGGCAUGUAAAUUGGCGCUUAUCCCUCGGCCGAUCUGUUUUUGCUCGAUGUGCGAGCAGCCCGUGCACCCAAAAUCGACCCAUGACGAUUCAAAAUCUUAUCCAAAGGCAGCAGCCGGAGGAUGGAAACACGGAAGCAGUAUUGUAAUGCUCUAUUGAAAGGUGUAUGUUGAGCUCUGAAGGCAAGCACGACCAUCACACUUUUGCUCCUGUGGUAGGCAUGUAGGCAUGUCGUUUGACUCUUGCCAAGAAGCGUAUGAGCAGUACAACCUGUUUGCUUGGGAAAAUGGUUUUGGUAUUCGUCAGGGAAAAUCUAGAUGGGGCGAAGGAUGAUACCAGCUGAUGCACGAAAUCGCCUAUCAGUGUCAGGUACUAAUCGAUUUGUACUCAUGCGUAGUGAUUACUUAAAGGAAUCUAUGAGUUCCUGCAAGAUGCAUCUCCAGCAUUUCUUGUGCAGAUAAGUUCCUACUCAUAUUUCCCCCUUGCAUAGCAAUCGACUUAUUUUAGGAACAUUAAUAUCAUUCAUUGGCCUAUGAAUUUCUCACAUAAUUUCCUGCUUUACUGUUCUGGUGAACAUCCUUUUUAAAUAUUUUUGUUUCUUGAUACCUCGAAACAGUAGUUUAAAUUCUUUUCCACGAAUCUGCGUGUUGCUGUCUUGGUGAUGGUAAUUAGUCAUGGAUAGUUGCCAUUCUGAAGUUCCUUGGUUCAGAUAUGUGCGGUUUGGCAAUGAUUUUGCCUGUUCUUUUUUCUGUUCAAAUAUAUACCAUUUGGCAAUGACUAGAUUCAAAGAUACUGGCCAGUCCUAUGUAAUGGUACAAGCGCCAUUUGCAGGCACUCGAGGUAUGAGUGACAUGCCCCCCUCACCUUUGACGUCCCAGCACGCUCCGUCGCAUUUUCUGCCUUUUGGUUAGCAUAAUGGUGCUCUUCUUAGGACAGGAUUGGUACCAGAAAGAUUGUUUUUUGCAGCAUUAUUCUGCAAUGUGCUCAAUUUAUUUGGAACUGGGUGAGUAGAUGAAGUGAUUCGGCUUAGCCUCCUCCAGCUAAUUUAGGUGUUGGCCAUCCAUUAUUAGAUUGUACGAAUGGAAUAGAAGUAAUCUUUGUGAAGUCUUAGCUUUGCCCGGUUCAUUCGGCACCCUUGGAUGCAAGGAUUUUUCCAAAUUCAUGAUACUAUAUCCUCUGAAAUUGACUUUCAAAAGUAGAGCUCUGUAUUACGGGUGUUGGCUGAUGCCCCGAUGCAUAUUUUUGGUUGUGCCCUCAGUUGGUCAAUUAUUUUUAGGACAUUGUGAGGGGAAUGUGUGGGCACUCGUAGACAUCCCAAACUUUUGCAACAAGCCAAGCAAGAAUUGAAAUAUGAAUGGGCUGCCACAAGUAAUUAGAUACGAAUGAAUGCUUCUUGCUUGAUUAGAUUUGUUGACGAGGAAUAGGACUCAACUCACGCCACUUCCAUUCAUCUAACGCUGCAUAUAUACAGUUUACAGGAGCAGUUCAGAGAGAACGUGUGAGAGCCACUAGCUCCACUAACCCACGAUGCAAAGCAUGUCUCAGAGAGAGAGAGAGAGAGAGAUCAUGCGGUGACUACGCAUACAUACACACACCAGUACGUAUUCUGCUAACAAGAUUGAUACAUCUCCUCUCCUUAUAUAGAGAGGUUUACUUGACUCCUAAGCAAGCGACCCUUAUCUCUAAUUAAUCCUAAUCCUCCUAAUAAGAUAAUUGGGCUAAGCCCCUAAUAACGAUAAGAUAACUUGGGCCACAACUCACUGGGCUAAGCCCCUAAUAUGCCGGUCAUAACAGUUAGUGAAUCAUGGUUCUGAUUGUGCACCUUUUUUGGCUUAGAAAAAUAUAGCAAUUUAUGGUUACUUCUUAAGUUUGGUUAUCUCAAUUGGGUGUCCUUGCUGCGUUAUGGUCUGACCGUGCGUGUGUGUGUGUGUGUGUGUUUGCACGCGCGCGCUCAUGAAGCUUCUGUUCUCCAUGGAUGAACCUCAACAGGCAACAGCAAGCCAUCUCAAGGGAGGGGAUUCUCAAGUCACCCCACUUCCAAUCCAUCGAUGCCAUCCACAAGGACCAAGAUGACGAUGACCAGGAAGGAAGGAGCCCACGCCCGACCCCUACGACGAUGGUUCUGUUUGUGCGCCAGCGACGACCACAACCUCCCUCUCCGCCACAGGACGCUACAGGGUUAAAGGAUAGUUUUCAUCAAGAAUAUGCGCAUUGAGAUCCACACACACGUCAGUAAAUCAAGAAACUACAUAUGUUCCUAUCUGGAGGCACCCAUUGUACUGCAAGCAAGACACUGAGUUUGGUUUCAGGUUCCUCUCAAAAGAUAUCAGAUAAAGCCGAGGACAAUUAGAGAGUUCCAUGUCAUUUAUCCAAAUGAAGAUGAUAAUGAGAAAUUCCAACAUUAUGCUUUCCCGUUGAAUAUAGCCAAAGGUCAUCUCUGCCUCUUCUUUCCAACAUUAUGACUAAAUGUUUGACAUGACCCCAUUAUCUACAGAAGCAAAUUCUAGCAGAGAAGCAAAUUUUGUAGAUUGAAGAACUUUAGGUUGACAAGCCUGCAAAAGCAUGUGUUAAUUGUGUUCUUGAAGCCGCCGGCGAUCUGUCCAUGGACACGGACCUGGGCUGUCGCGGCUUCACCCACACCGAGUGCCUUCCCAAUACGUACGACCAACCAACACAAAGAUGACACAGAUUGGUUAUGCAGGAUCUCUUGGUAAUGAAACUCUUCCCUUGGCUGUACCUAAUCUUGUAUGUUCCAUUAUUUUUCCUUUUGAGUGGAUUGCUAUAUGGAAUACCAUCUAUUUCUAAUGAAUUUAUAUGUUGCUUGCUGCCUUUUUUAAUUAGAUAGAUCCAAUAACUAUACCAAUGAAUAUUUUUUUUUUGUGACUGAUAUAUAAUUCAGUGAUAUAAAUGCUAUAUAUUUUGUAUCUGAUAUGCAAGGUUACCUGAAUCUCCUCGCAUAUUUUUUUUGUGUUCGUUUAUUUAUAUGGAAAAUAGCCUACUUAGUCAAUUUUGGUUUAGCCCUGUAUGUGGUUUGCUUACUCAAUAUUGACCUCAGUGUCACUAUGCCUGCUUCCGAAACUCUAGCACUGAAAUAUAUGCUCUGUUACUCUUAAUCAAGAUGCUUUUGUACCAACUUUAUGCCAUGCUGCACUUACUCGGGCUAAAUCCUUGUGCUUUAUCAUGAGGACAACAAUAGUGGUUACUUCUCAUCUGAGCUUGAGCUGUGGUGAAUGCGACCGAUGUUUCGACCGCAUACGAAGAUGUAGUUCUUUUGGUUUAUCAGCCAAUAUGAUCGUAUAUAGACGGGAUGCCUGUACGGAGGCGUUUUGAAUUAGUAUGGUAGCAGACUAUCCUAUCCUUAUUGUAAAUUAUGUGUGAUCAUCGCUAUGAGACACUCCUUUGGAUGGAUUUACCAUUCCAUGGUUAUUGUAAAUUAUGAAUGAAUUAUGCUGUAGUUUUAGUAUUGGUUCUCUAAUCUACUUCCUCUGCCUGUGU